UACGUAGGGCGCGAGCGUUAAUCGGAAUUACUGGGCGUAAAGCGUGCGCAGGCGGUUCGUUAAGUCAGGUGUGAAAGCCCCGGGCUCAACCUGGGAACUGCAUUUGAAACUGGCGGGCUUGAGUGUGGCAGAGGGGGGUGGAAUUCCGCGUGUAGCAGUGAAAUGCGUAGAGAUGCGGAGGAACACCGAUGGCGAAGGCAGCCCCCUGGGCCAACACUGACGCUCAGGCACGAAAGCGUGGGGAGCAAACAGG
rnacentral:rRNA from 1 species